UACGGCCAUAUCGCUUUGAAUCCUCGUUUCCCGUAACGAUCACCGAAAUUAAGCUUCGUUGAGCAAGGUCAGGACCUAGAUCAGUGACUGCUUGGGAGCACCAUGUGCU
rnacentral:rRNA from 1 species